GAAAUGCGAUAAGUAAUGUGAAUUGCAGAAUUCAGUGAAUCAUCGAAUCUUUGAACGCACCUUGCGCUCCUUGGUAUUCCGAGGAGCAUGCCUGUUUGAGUGUCAUGGAAUUCUCAACUCUAUUUGCUUUUGUGAAUAGAGCUUGGAUUUGGAGGUUUAUUGCUGGUACUUGUGAUCGGCUCCUCUUGAAUGCAUUAGCUCGAACCUUUGCGGAUCAGCUAUCGGUGUGAUAAUUGUCUACGCCGUUGCAGUGAAGCAUAUCAAUGGGCUCGGCUUCCAAUCGUCCUUUACUGGACAAUGACUUUGACCAUUGACCUCAAAUCAGGUAGGAUUACCCGCUGAACUUAAGC
rnacentral:misc_RNA from 1 species